UACGGAGGUUCCAAGCGUUGUUCGGAAUUACUGGGCGUAAAGGGAGCGCAGGCGGAUCGGUAAGUCUAAAGUGGAAACCCGGAGCUCAACUUCGGACGUGCUUUGGAUACUGUCGGUCUUGAGUUCGUGAGAGGAAAGCGGAAUUCCGGGUGUAGCGGUGAAAUGCUUAGAUAUCCGGAGGAACACCGAUGGCGAAAGCAGCCUUCUGGCGCGAAACUGACGCUGAGGCUCGAAAGCGUGGGUAGCGAACGGG
rnacentral:misc_RNA from 1 species